UGCAGUCGAGCGGCAGCGACAACAUUGAUUCUUCGGAGGAUUUGUUGGGCGGCGAGCGGCGGACGGGUGAGUAAUGGCUGGGAACCUGCCCUGACGUGGGGGAUAACAGUUGGAAACGACUGCUAAUACCGCAUGAUGUCUUUGGACCAAAGAGGAGGACCUUCGGGCUUCUCGCGUCGGGAUGGGCCCAGUUGGGAUUAGCUAGUUGGUGAGGUAAUGGCUCACCAAGGCGACGAUCCCUAGCUGGUUUGAGAGGAUGAUCAGCCACACUGGAACUGAGACACGGUCCAGACUCCUACGGGAGGCAGCAGUGGGGAAUAUUGCACAAUGGGCGCAAGCCUGAUGCAGCCAUGCCGCGUGUGUGAAGAAGGCCUUCGGGUUGUAAAGCACUUUCAGCAGUGAGGAAGGCGUAGUGGUUAAUACCCGCUGCGCUUGACAUUAGCUGCAGAAGAAGCACCGGCUAACUCCGUGCCAGCAGCCGCGGUAAUACGGAGGGUGCGAGCGUUAAUCGGAAUUACUGGGCGUAAAGCGCAUGCAGGCGGUUUGUUAAGCAAGAUGUGAAAGCCCCGGGCUCAACCUGGGAACCGCAUUUUGAACUGGCAGGCUAGAGUCUUGUAGAGGGGGGUAGAAUUUCAGGUGUAGCGGUGAAAUGCGUAGAGAUCUGAAGGAAUACCGGUGGCGAAGGCGGC
rnacentral:rRNA from 1 species